rnacentral:rRNA from 1 species
GGGUGCCUAAUACAUGCAAGUCGAGCGAACAGACGAGCCUUUUGCUCCUCUGACGUUAGCGGUGGACGGGUGAGUAACACGUGGAUAACCUACCUAUAAGACUGGGAUAACUUCGGGAAACCGGAGCUAAUACCGGAUAACAUGUUGAACCGCAUGGUUCAACAGUGAAAGACGGUCUUGCUGUCACUUAUAGAUGGAUCCGCGCCGCAUUAGCUAGUUGGUAAGGUAACGGCUUACCAAGGCAACGAUGCGUAGCCGACCUGAGAGGGUGAUCGGCCACACUGGAACUGAGACACGGUCCAGACUCCUACGGGAGGCAGCAGUAGGGAAUCUUCCGCAAUGGGCGAAAGCCUGACGGAGCAACGCCGCGUGAGUGAAGAAGGUCUUCGGAUCGUAAAACUCUGUUAUUAGGGAAGAACAAAUGUGUAAGUAACUAUGCACGUCUUGACGGUACCUAAUCAGAAAGCCACGGCUAACUACGUGCCAGCAGCCGCGGUAAUACGUAGGUGGCAAGCGUUAUCCGGAAUUAUUGGGCGUAAAGCGCGCGUAGGCGGUUUUUAAGUCUGAUGUGAAAGCCCACGGCUCAACCGUGGAGGGUCAUUGGAAACUGGAAAACUUGAGUGCAGAAGAGGAAAGUGGAAUUCCAUGUGUAGCGGUGAAAUGCGCAGAGAUAUGGAGGAACACCAGUGGCGAAGGCGACUUUCUGGUCUGUAACUGACGCUGAUGUGCGAAAGCGUGGGGAUCAAACAGGAUUAGAUACCCUGGUAGUCCACGCCGUAAACGAUGAGUGCUAAGUGUUAGGGGGUUUCCGCCCCUUAGUGCUGCAGCUAACGCAUUAAGCACUCCGCCUG